CUCAUGCCAUCCUCCACAUGUGGCAGAGCCAUCGAUCGGCCCGUCAGGAGAGGAGCUGCAGGGGGUGGACGCGACUGAUAACUGGGAUUUCCUUUGUCUGAAAAUCACUAAGCACUGGGGCAGUAACACAACUACAGCUGAACAGCAGAAGCAUGAGACGAUCAUUCAGGACUGGAACAAAUUGGGGGCGAAUAAAUGACGACACCUUUUCAUUUUCAUUGAAUACUCCUUCAAGUGAAACCUGAUGAUGACUGAGGAGCACAAAGCUCCUCUGGUGCACCUGCAGUCCAUCACUCGCUCCUGGAUAUAUCAGCUCACUGUUACAGGUGGCUGGAGAAACACCUGUACAGAAGACAAAAAUUAGAAUUUCAUGAAAUAUAAACACAUAAAUUCUCUUUUUGCUUUGUGACAAGGUUAUUGUAAUCUUA
ensembl:lncRNA